GGGGAAUUAGCUCAGUGGUAGAGCGCUGGAUUCCAGUCCCAGCGGCCGGGGGUUCAACUCCCUCAUUCCUCA
rfam:Saprolegnia parasitica CBS 223.65 unplaced genomic scaffold supercont2.110, whole genome shotgun sequence.